rnacentral:rRNA from 1 species
AAGUUUGGGGCUUAAAAUGCAAGUCGUACGAUGGUGCCCUAAUUGCUGGGUGGAUUAGUGGCGAACGGGUGAGUAACACGUGAGUAACCUGCCCUUAACUCUGGGAUAAGCCUGGGAAACUGGGUCUAAUACCGGAUAGGAGCGCCUACCGCAUGGUGGGUGUUGGAAAGAUUUAUCGGUUUUGGAUGGACUCGCGGCCUAUCAGCUUGUUGGUGAGGUAAUGGCUCACCAAGGCGACGACGGGUAGCCGGCCUGAGAGGGUGACCGGCCACACUGGGACUGAGACACGGCCCAGACUCCUACGGGAGGCAGCAGUGGGGAAUAUUGCACAAUGGGCGCAAGCCUGAUGCAGCGACGCCGCGUGAGGGAUGACGGCCUUCGGGUUGUAAACCUCUUUCAGUAGGGAAGAAGCGAAAGUGACGGUACCUGCAGAAGAAGCACCGGCUAACUACGUGCCAGCAGCCGCGGUAAUACGUAGGGUGCGAGCGUUAUCCGGAAUUAUUGGGCGUAAAGAGCUCGUAGGCGGUUUGUCGCGUCUGUCGUGAAAGUCCGGGGCUUAACCCCGGAUCUGCGGUGGGUACGGGCAGACUAGAGUGCAGUAGGGGAGACUGGAAUUCCUGGUGUAGCGGUGGAAUGCGCAGAUAUCAGGAGGAACACCGAUGGCGAAGGCAGGUCUCUGGGCUGUAACUGACGCUGAGGAGCGAAAGCAUGGGGAGCGAACAGGAUUAGAUACCCUGGUAGUCCAUGCCGUAAACGUUGGGCACUAGGUGUGGGGACCAUUCCACGGUUUCCGCGCCGCAGCUAACGCAUUAAGUGCCCCGCCUGGGGAGUACGGCCGCAAGGCUAAAACUCAAAGGAAUUGACGGGGGCCCGCACAAGCGGCGGAGCAUGCGGAUUAAUUCGAUGCAACGCGAAGACCCUUACCAAGGCUUGACAUGUUCUCGAUCGCCGUAGAGAUACGGUUUCCCCUUUGGGGCGGGUCACAGGUGGUGCAUGGUGUCGUCAGCUCGUGUCGUGAGAUGUUGGGUUAAGUCCUGCACGAGCGCACCCUCGUCAUGCUGCCAGCACGUAGUUGCUGGGACUCAUGGGAGACUGCCGGGUCAACUCGGAGGAGGUGAGACGACGUCAAUCAUCAUGCCCCUUAUGUCUGGGCUCAGCAUGCUACAUGACGGUAAUGUUUGCGAAUCCUGGGAGUGAGCCUAUCUAAGCGUCCAGUCGAUGGAUCGACUCGACCCAUGAGUCGGACUGCCUAGAUAUCGCGAAAU